CUCUCCCCUCUCCUUCCUUCCUUCUUUCUUUCUUUUUUUUUUUUGGAUAUCCUAUUCCUAAAAAAUCUGACAACCUGGUCUUUUCACAUGUCUAAUUAAAACUUCAGAUAAUAUUAGGCAUGUUUAGAGUAGUGUGUCCUUGGACUUAAAUCUUCUGCAGCUUCCCUCUGUCUAAUUCUUUAGCAGGACACACAAGUUCUUCAUCUUAAGUUCUCUAUACUUAGCAUCCUCAACAUUUGGUAAAUCCAGUAGUCCUAGACCACACAGUAUAUCCUGAAAAGUGUAUUAGAUUAUGCUUUUUGCCUCUGUGUGAAUGCCCUUUCUCCUACAUUUCUGUCAUGUUUUCACCCUUCUUUUGUGAGCAAGCUCAAGUAUUAGCUGGUGACACCUCUUGCAGAGGAAAAUUGAUACAGCAAUUUGGCUCCUUGAGUGAGUAUUCAUAAACAAAACCUAGGUUGAUGUGAUCCAGGUGGAAUACAGCUAUGUUCUUAAUGUACACCUUUAAUACCUCUGGCUGAAAUAUAGACAUGCCCUUAUUACACACCUUUAAUUCCUAAUAAUGUAGGUAAGGUUAGUUUCUAGAAGAAAGCAAUCAUGUUUGAAAGUAAUGUUUAAUUCAGAGGUAGACAAAGUGAUGAAAGAUUUGACAGAAUCAGUGAGAGGAGAUAGGAUAUACCCAACUUUCACAAAAAUACCACAGGAAAGGGAGGUGACUUAAAAGAGAAACACACACACACACACACACACACACACACACACACACACACACACAGAGAGAGAGAGAGAGAGAGAGAGAGAGAGAGAGAGAGAGAGAGAGAGAGAGAGAGAGAGAACGAGAACAGUUUUACCAGGACAGUUUUAUACAGACAGGUUGCUGGUGAAGACAGAAUGAGCCAGGGAAUGAGAAGGAGCCAUAAGAUUAGAACAGAAUUCUAGAAUUCUAGAGUUAGCUUGAGGCCAAGCAAGAACAAUUCAGUGAGAAUCUGAGAGAAGCCAGAUUGAAUCAGCCAGCUCGGAGAGGAACUUGAUCUAGAACAACUGAGUUGAUCCAGCCGGCCAGAAUUCAGAAAGAGGUAGAAAGGGUAAGCAUAUUCAGCAAUAAGCCUUUGAGACAACAUCUAGCAAAUAAAAACUACAUUUACAUCUUGCCUCUGAGGAAACAAAAGCAACAUUUACAUUUUCUGCUCCUCCACACCCAGUCACUCGCUCUCUAAGCUCCCUGUGGUUUGUUCACAACUACAGCAAUAUAUUAUGAACCCUAGUGGUUAGCUAUAUGUAUGCUCAUCUAUAUGCACACAUGAGCCAUAGUAUCAGGGCUGAGGUCAGAGGACAACUCUGGGAGGUCGUUCUUUCCUUCCUCCAUGUGCUUGGUGACAUGCACUUUACUGCUCCGUCUUGCUGGCUGCACUGUGUUUGUUUGAUGAAUCCUGAGCUAUCAGCUACUGUUCUGGGCAUUAUGUUGAAAACUAUUAAGAAAUUAUAUUCUUUCUGUGUAUUUCUUUCUUAACGUACAGGGAUUAAAAAGUAUAAGUUAUAAAGCAUAUAAAGUUUAAAAAGGUAUAUUUAAAAUCUUAUUCAUUAUAAAAUAGAAAUAACACAUUAAUUUAAGACAUUACAAUUAUUUCUCCAUCCCAGGGCCUUUAUAUUUUAUGCUUCAUCUGCCAAGAAUAUCCUUUUUGCUAUGGCUGACUUUUCCCCCAGUUUUUGGCUCACAAACCAUAUUCUCAGAAGCAUCUACCCCAGAUACUCUGUUAGGAAAAAAGAAAAUGUAAAUUUAAAGUUAGAAAAAAAAUCAUUUGCUGAUAAAAGUUGUGGGUAAAAUCAUUUCUAUAACAUUAUUUCUAUGUGAAUUAAAAUAAGAAAAUUCACCAUUUACUUUCAUCUAUACCUUCCACUAUUUACAUCACAUUUACCACGGUCUGCUCAUCUAUGAGCAUCUGCUAAUUUUCUUUUCUGUGAAGACACUUCAUGAGCUGUACUAUCUCACUCCCUACAGCAGCAUGGAGUAUGCACUGUUUCACUUUAGUAGAUGCACUUGCAAAUGUUUGAAAGCAAUUUGAAGAUGGAGGUGACUAGACAUUCCCCAGCAUCAGGAAAUAUCAGUGAAGUACAACUCAACUGUCAGAUGGAGGAUACUAUGUACAUGCUGAAUGGCCAUCUGUUGAUCUUUCUGAGUGAGAAGAAUACAGUAAACAGAACUGGAAUUAGAUUUACACUGGCUUGACACUAAAAACAGAAUGUAUUUGGAACUAUAGAUUGACCUAUGGGUCUUCUCCAAGAGCAGCAGUUACUCUGAACAACUACUAUGCUAUACCAUCAGCUUCUAGAAUGCAUUUUAAACAUGUUUAAAGUGAUACAGUGAAGCAAACAUUGGUUCUAAGCUCUCUCUACAACACCUUAACUUAUCAUCUGCCUCAUUCCUAAGACUGACGUUCCCAGUAAUCAUAAAAUUUGUACUGAAAUUUUCUCACUUUAAUAUACAUGAAUGAUUUUAUAGAAAUAAUUUCAUCUACAACUAUUAUCAACAGUGUAUUUUUCUAACUUUACAUAAAAAUAUUAUUUGACAGCUAAUGAUACAAAGCGUGUGUAAGAAAUUAACAUGCUUAAAGAAAAAUUAAAAAGAUUUUCUACUCUGAAUUCCUCUGAGUGUAUCCACUGGGCUUCUGAGGACCUUUCAGCAAAUCCUCAGGUUCCAUAGAAGGAGUUCAUGGUCACGAAUCACCAAAUUUAUUCCUCUCCAUCAGUGUUUGGAGUGUCAAACAAUUCAUCUCUUAGAAGUAAGCUGCCUUAUAAUUACCUACCACAUGACUGUGUUCAGCAAAGUGCAGACCUGUUCAAGGCCAAUUGUAUUUUGUUUCAAAGAAAAUAGCUUUCUAUGACACUGCUUUAUGUAUGAACAAAUCUGAGAACUUACGAAUGAUUAAAAUACAAAGGGCCCUUUA